GCAAAAUCCUCCUAGCUGAUUUCCCUGCUUCUACCCAAGUUACUCUCUAUAGUUUAUUCCAGAGGGAUCCUGCUAAAAGAUAAAUCAGAUCAUAUACCUGUUUGUUCACAACUGUCCAGUGCCUUUGACUUGCUCUAAGAAUGAAAGCUAAGCUUGCUAUCACCAACCGCUUCCCUAAGUCCACCUCCUAUGAACUGCUUGGUCAUUUGUUGCAGUCAUACUACUCAUCUAGGCCAAACGUAGUCCUACCUCAGGACCUUUGCCCCUGCUACUCCUGCUUCCUGAGGUGUACACAUUUGUUUUCUGCCCCUCUUUGUAUGGCAAGCUCUUAUCAUUCUUGUCUCAUUUCAGAUCACCUUCUCCCUGACCACCUGCUCUAAAUCAGCCCCUAUCACUGUUCUUCACAUCCUCCUGCUCUCUUUUCCUUCACAGACCUUACUGCCAUGGAACAUUAUGAUAUUCAGUUAGCUGUUUACUGGUUUGUUUCCUGGCCCCUCUGCCACACACACUGGAAUAUAAACUCCAUGAGGAAAGCAGGGAUUUCAUCUGUCUCUUCACCAUUACAUCCUCAGUGUCUAGACCAGUGGUUCUCAAGCUUGGAUGUGCAUCGGAAUCACGUGGAGGGUUGAUUAAAACGCAGAUUGCUGGGCCCCAACUCCAAAGCUUCUAAUUCAGGAGGUCUGGAGUGGGCCUCGAAAUGUGCACGGCUAGCAAGUUCCCAGAUGACGGUGAAACUGCGUCCAGGAACCAAACUCUGAGAACCCUCAGUCUCGACAGUGCCUGGCCCCCGUAAACUCAUGGAGAAGCGAGCAGGCUUGGAUCCUAAGACCUCAGAGCUCUGUUACUCCCAGGCUAGGCCCUUCUCUGCUUCUAGGUUGGCUAGGCAACUCUGCUCCGUAUAAUCCUUAAUCAAGGACCCCGAGCUCAAGGAGGUCAAGGAACUCGUCCUCUGCAUUCAGGAAAGAAAAAAGAGCUCUGCCAUCUGGGAUGGGGUGAAGCCAGGACGCGAUGUCAUUUGCAGAGGAAGCAGAGCCCGUUUCCGGGAUGCUUUGGCACCAGGUUGAGUUUUCGGAUGCCUGCCUUGUCAUUUACCUCCUACUGAAAGGACAGGGCCCCCACCCAUGCCACCACCCCUCUCGCAAAUGGGGAGAGAGAAGCCAGAAGGAAGAGAAAUCGAAUGUGGACUUUUCCUGAUUUGCCUCAUAGUAGAAAGUUAGCAAAGCAUGUCAGAGAAUAGAAAGUAUUUGAUAAAAAUAGCGUCUGUUAAGCCUGGGACUCAAGCUGGAGAUGCAUGGAAAUGAAAUUUAUUCCUUCCUUGAGUGUUCCCCUACUAGGAUAACAAUUCCGUCUCCCUCAUUAAUGACAGAGGCUUAAGAUGCUGCUUUCUGUGACCAAAAUGCCUCUCUUUCCCAGGGCUGAAGGUGGAGGAGGUGCUGGCCGAAUUGAGGAAAGCUACCAGGCUGUGAAGCCCCCUCUGGCCAGUCGGGUGUGGCUCUACCAUCGUCACAUCCACCCUUGACUUUGAGACAUGGUGUCAAGGGCCCCACCAGCCUGUGAGAUGGGGGAGCUGGGAGAAGGUUUUCCAGACUAGCCAGUGUCGCUGGCUCAUAGGAACCUAAUUGAUAACCAUACCUUUGCAGUAUUAUUACUCUCCCCAGGGAGGCCUCUGGCCAGGCAGCCCUGGGUAAAAGGGCAGAGAAAACAGAGGCUGAUGUCCUCUCCUUCAUAAAGCAGCUCCUCACGGUGCCUGGGGCUUUCACAUUUCCUCGUGCUACGGAGGACAUGCAGAGGUGUCUCCCUCAGCUCAGGAUGGGAACACCAGAUUGGGCCUUCCUCAAAGCACGUGCUAGAGCCCCCUAAACUCUCCU